rnacentral:rRNA from 1 species
AGUGAACGCUGGCGGUAGGCCUAACACAUGCAAGUCUAACGGCAGCACAGUAAGAGCUUGCUCUUACGGGUGGCGAGUGGCGGACGGGUGAGGAAUACAUCGGCAUCUACUUUUUCGUGGGGGAUAACGUAGGGAAACUUACGCUAAUACCGCAUACGACCUACGGGUGAAAGCAGGGGAUCUUCGGACCUUGCGCGAUUGAAUGAGCCUAUGUCGGAUUAGCUAGUUGGCGGGGUAAAGGCCCACCAAGGCGACGAUCCGUAGCUGGUCUGAGAGGAUGAUCAGCCACACUGGAACUGAGACACGGUCCAGACUCCUACGGGAGGCAGCAGUGGGGAAUAUUGGACAAAGGGCGCAAGCCUGAUCCAGACAUACCGCGUGGGUGAAGAAGGAAUUCGGGUUGUAAAGCCCUUUUGUUGGGAAAGAAAAGCAGCAGGUUAAUACCCCGCUGUUCUGACGGUACCCAAAGAAUAAGCACCGGCUAACUUCGUG